rnacentral:rRNA from 1 species
AUUGAACGCUGGCGGCAGGCCUAACACAUGCAAGUCGAACGGUAACAGGAAACAGCUUGCUGUUUCGCUGACGAGUGGCGGACGGGUGAGUAAUGUCUGGGAAACUGCCUGAUGGAGGGGGAUAACUACUGGAAACGGUAGCUAAUACCGCAUAACGUCGCAAGACCAAAGAGGGGGACCUUCGGGCCUCUUGCCAUCGGAUGUGCCCAGAUGGGAUUAGCUAGUAGGUGGGGUAACGGCUCACCUAGGCGACGAUCCCUAGCUGGUCUGAGAGGAUGACCAGCCACACUGGAACUGAGACACGGUCCAGACUCCUACGGGAGGCAGCAGUGGGGAAUAUUGCACAAUGGGCGCAAGCCUGAUGCAGCCAUGCCGCGUGUAUGAAGAAGGCCUUCGGGUUGUAAAGUACUUUCAGCGGGGAGGAAGGGAGUAAAGUUAAUACCUUUGCUCAUUGACGUUACCCGCAGAAGAAGCACCGGCCAACUCCGUG